rnacentral:snoRNA from 1 species
UCCCUCUCAGGAUCGCAACUGGAGAGUUUCCAGUACUCUACCAGUCUCGACUAUAGGAGAGAGAGUCAAGCAGAGGCCUACCCAUUCCAUUCCUAGCUUGGGCAGUGGCUAGCGAGUGGAAGGCAAUCUGCUAUAAGU